UACGUAGGGGGCAAGCGUUGUCCGGAAUUACUGGGCGUAAAGAGCGCGUAGGCGGCCCGAUAAGUCCGCUGUGAAAGUCCAGGGCUCAACCCUGGAAUGCCAGUGGAUACUGUCGGGCUAGAGUACGGAAGAGGCGAGUGGAAUUCCUGGUGUAGCGGUGGAAUGCGCAGAUAUCAGGAGGAACACCAAUAGCGAAGGCAGCUCGCUGGGACGUUACUGACGCUGAGGCGCGAAAGCGUGGGGAGCAAACAGG
rnacentral:rRNA from 1 species